AUUGAACGCUGGCGGCAGGCCUAACACAUGCAAGUCGAACGAGUGGCGGACGGGUUAGUAAUGUCUGGGCAACUGCCUGAUGGAUGGGGAUACCUACUGGAAACGGUAGCUAAUACCGCAUACCAUCGGAUGUGCCCAGAUGGGAUUCUCUAGUAGGUGGGGGAAAGGCUCACCUAGGCGACUAUCCCUAGCUGGUCUGAGAGGAUGACCAGCAAAACUGGAACUGAGACACGGUCCAGACUCCUACGGGAGGCAGCAGUGGGGAAUAGUGCACAAGGGGCGAAAGCGUGAUGCAGCCAUGCCGCGUGUAUGAAGAAGGCCUGCGGGUUGUAAAGUACUUUCAGCGGGGAGGCGUUACCCGCAGAAGAAGCACCGGCUAACUCCGUGCCAGCAGCCGCGGUAAUUC
rnacentral:rRNA from 1 species